AUGGAGGAGGAGCAGAGGAAGCGGGACUAUGAAUGCCUUCAAGGCCUAGAAGCAAGUCAAGCGGAAUUGGUAGUCAAAUUCCAGCGGCAGCAGGAGCAGAUCGACUCACUUACCCAGCAAAGGGGGUCUCAGCAGCUGCAGCAGCUAGCGAAUGAUCCAGCAUUGGAUAGCACCGCCCCAUCCAUGCCGCGAAGCAGCGUGGGUUCCACCCCGGACGAUGCAAUGCUGGGUAGAUACCCCGUGGAUGACAUCACGGAGAACACUAGCUGUGAGCUACACGUCAAAAUGAAGAACAUAUCCAUGAAGGUGGCGGACGCCGUUGCUUUUACAAAUGCCCCCGAGGCAACCUUCCAUUGCAACCCGAUUCCAGCGGGCUAUGCUCGUGUCUUGGUUGAUGAGGUGGUGGACCCAUAUUCGGAGCUAGAACUUGACUAUCCUGGAGGUGACGACGAGCGCUUUCUCGGAGACGCCAAACAUCAUAUCAUCCUAUGGAAAAAGGAUUGCAUCAUCAUUCGAAGGCCACCGACACCGCGUCAGCCGACUCCUCGUCGAAGUCUGCCACCGAGUCAGCAGUCUCCCGCUCCUGCAAGUCCACCAAGUCCGGCAAAGUGUCAGGCCAAUCCUCCUCCAAGUCCGGCAAAGUGUCAGGCCACUCCUCCUCCUCCAAGUCCGCCACAGCGUUAG
rnacentral:rRNA from 1 species